CAUGCAGGCGGCUGAUUAAGCCAGAUGUGAAAGCCCGAGGCUCAACCUCGGAAUAGCAUUUGGAACUGGUCAGCUAGAGUUCUUGAGAGGGUGGUAGAAUUUCAGGUGUAGCGGUGAAAUGCGUAGAGAUCUGAAGGAAUACCAGUGGCGAAGGCGGCCACCUGGCAAGUAACUGACGCUCAGAUGCGAAAGCGUGGGGAGCAAACAGGAUUAGAUACCCUGGUAGUCC
rnacentral:rRNA from 1 species